rnacentral:rRNA from 1 species
UACAGAGGUGGCAAGCGUUGUUCGGAAUUACUGGGCGUAAAGGGCGCGUAGGCGGCUUUUUAAGUCAGACGUGAAAUCCCCCGGCUUAACCUGGGAACUGCGUCUGAUACUGGGAAGCUUGAGUUCGGGAGAGGGAUGUAGAAUUCCAGGUGUAGCGGUGAAAUGCGUAGAUAUCUGGAGGAAUACCGGUGGCGAAGGCGGAUCUCUGGGCCUUACCUGACGCUGAGGCGCGAAAGCUAGGGGAGCGAACAGG